UGCCAGCAGCCGCGGUAAUACGAAGGGGGCUAGCGUUGUUCGGAAUUACUGGGCUUAAAGGGUGCGUAGGCGGUUUUGUAAGUCAGGGGUGAAAGUCGGUGGCCCAACCAUCGAAUUGCCUUUGAUACUGCAUAACUUGAGUGUGUUAGGGGAGAGCGGAACGUGUAGUGUAGCGGUGAAAUGCGUAGAUAUUACACGGAAGGCCGGAGCCGAAGGGGGCUCUCUGGGACACAACUGACGCUGAGGAACGAAAGCGUGGGGAGCAAACAGGAUUAGAUA
rnacentral:rRNA from 1 species